rnacentral:rRNA from 1 species
GUGUCAGCCGCCGCGGUAAUACGUAGGGGGCGAACGUUGUCCGGAUUUAUUGGGCGUAAAGGGUACGCAGGCGGCCAUAUAAGUCAGAUGUGAAAGACCAAGGCUCAACCUUGGUUAGCAUUUGAAACUGUGUGGCUUGAGUUAAGGAGAGGAAAGUGGAAUUCCUAGUGUAGCGGUGAAAUGCGUAGAUAUUAGGAGGAAUACCAGUGGCGAAGGCGACUUUCUGGACUUAUACUGACGCUGAGGUACGAAAGCGUGGGGAGCAAACAGGAUUAGAUACCCUGGUAGUCCACGCCGUAAACGAUGAGUGCUAGGUGUCGGGGGUCAAACCUCGGUGCCGCAGCUAACGCAUUAAGCACUCCGCCUGGGGAGUACGUACGCAAGUAUGAA